CAUAGAUGGAAGUGAAUUUCAGCACCUCUGCCACCCGAUAAGUGCCAACAGUUUCAGAAGCAAGGAUGAAGCUGCGAAGAAUGCCAAUUGGUCCUCAGCAGGAGCAGGUCGGUGAGGAAGGAAGAGCAAGCCACAGCAUAAUGUUGGACAGGCGAAAAGUGACAGGAAUAUGGGGAGAGAGAGAAGGGGGAUGACAUGCAGCAAA